rnacentral:piRNA from 1 species
CUAUGUACUACCCGUGGGUGGGAGCCUAGC